rnacentral:rRNA from 2 species
UCCUGACUGACCGAUAGUGAACCAGUACCGUGAGGGAAAGGCGAAAAGAACCCCGGCGAGGGGAGUGAAAAAGAACCUGAAACCGUGUACGUACAAGCAGUGGGAGCACGCUUAGGCGUGUGACUGCGUACCUUUUGUAUAAUGGGUCAGCGACUUAUAUUCUGUAGCAAGGUUAACCGAAUAGGGGAGCCGAAGGGAAACCGAGUCUUAACUGGGCGUUAAGUUGCAGGGUAUAGACCCGAAACCCGGUGAUCUAGCCAUGGGCAGGUUGAAGGUUGGGUAACACUAACUGGAGGACCGAACCGACUAAUGUUGAAAAAUUAGCGGAUGACUUGUGGCUGGGGGUGAAAGGCCAAUCAAACCGGGAGAUAGCUGGUUCUCCCCGAAAGCUAUUUAGGUAGCGCCUCGUGAAUUCAUCUCCGGGGGUAGAGCACUGUUUCGGCAAGGGGGUCAUCCCGACUUACCAACCCGAUGCAAACUGCGAAUACCGGAGAAUGUUAUCACGGGAGACACACGGCGGGUGCUAACGUCCGUCGUGAAGAGGGAAACAACCCAGACCGCCAGCUAAGGUCCCAAAGUCAUGGUUAAGUGGGAAACGAUGUGGGAAGGCCCAGACAGCCAGGAUGUUGGCUUAGAAGCAGCCAUCAUUUAAAGAAAGCGUAAUAGCUCACUGGUCGAGUCGGCCUGCGCGGAAGAUGUAACGGGGCUAAACCAUGCACCGAAGCUGCGGCAGCGACGCUUAUGCGUUGUUGGGUAGGGGAGCGUUCUGUAAGCCUGUGAAGGUGUGCUGUGAGGUAUGCUGGAGGUAUCAGAAGUGCGAAUGCUGACAUAAGUAACGAUAAAGCGGGUGAAAAGCCCGCUCGCCGGAAGACCAAGGGUUCCUGUCCAACGUUAAUCGGGGCAGGGUGAGUCGACCCCUAAGGCGAGGCCGAAAGGCGUAGUCGAUGGGAAACAGGUUAAUAUUCCUGUACUUGGUGUUACUGCGAAGGGGGGACGGAGAAGGCUAUGUUGGCCGGGCGACGGUUGUCCCGGUUUAAGCGUGUAGGCUGGUUUUCCAGGCAAAUCCGGAAAAUCAAGGCCGAGGCGUGAUGACGAGGCACUACGGUGCUGAAGCAACAAAUGCCCUGCUUCCAGGAAAAGCCUCUAAGCAUCAGGUAACAUCAAAUCGUACCCCAAACCGACACAGGUGGUCAGGUAGAGAAUACCAAGGCGCUUGAGAGAACUCGGGUGAAGGAACUAGGCAAAAUGGUGCCGUAACUUCGGGAGAAGGCACGCUGAUACGUAGGUGAAGCGACUUGCUCGUGGAGCUGAAAUCAGUCGAAGAUACCAGCUGGCUGCAACUGUUUAUUAAAAACACAGCACUGUGCAAACACGAAAGUGGACGUAUACGGUGUGACGCCUGCCCGGUGCCGGAAGGUUAAUUGAUGGGGUUAGCGCAAGCGAAGCUCUUGAUCGAAGCCCCGGUAAACGGCGGCCGUAACUAUAACGGUCCUAAGGUAGCGAAAUUCCUUGUCGGGUAAGUUCCGACCUGCACGAAUGGCGUAAUGAUGGCCAGGCUGUCUCCACCCGAGACUCAGUGAAAUUGAACUCGCUGUGAAGAUGCAGUGUACCCGCGGCAAGACGGAAAGACCCCGUGAACCUUUACUAUAGCUUGACACUGAACAUUGAGCCUUGAUGUGUAGGAUAGGUGGGAGGCUUUGAAGUGUGGACGCCAGUCUGCAUGGAGCCGACCUUGAAAUACCACCCUUUAAUGUUUGAUGUUCUAACGUGGACCCGUGAUCCGGGUUGCGGACAGUGUCUGGUGGGUAGUUUGACUGGGGCGGUCUCCUCCUAAAGAGUAACGGAGGAGCACGAAGGUUGGCUAAUCCUGGUCGGACAUCAGGAGGUUAGUGCAAUGGCAUAAGCCAGCUUGACUGCGAGCGUGACGGCGCGAGCAGGUGCGAAAGCAGGUCAUAGUGAUCCGGUGGUUCUGAAUGGAAGGGCCAUCGCUCAACGGAUAAAAGGUACUCCGGGGAUAACAGGCUGAUACCGCCCAAGAGUUCAUAUCGACGGCGGUGUUUGGCACCUCGAUGUCGGCUCAUCACAUCCUGGGGCUGAAGUAGGUCCCAAGGGUAUGGCUGUUCGCCAUUUAAAGUGGUACGCGAGCUGGGUUUAGAACGUCGUGAGACAGUUCGGUCCCUAUCUGCCGUGGGCGCUGGAGAACUGAGGGGGGCUGCUCCUAGUACGAGAGGACCGGAGUGGACGCAUCACUGGUGUUCGGGUUGUCAUGCCAAUGGCACUGCCCGGUAGCUAAAUGCGGAAGAGAUAAGUGCUGAAAGCAUCUAAGCACGAAACUUGCCCCGAGAUGAGUUCUCCCUGACCCUUUAAGGGUCCUGAAGGAACGUUGAAGACGACGACGUUGAUAGGCCGGGUGUGUAAGCGCAGCGAUGCGUUGAGCUAACCGGUACUAAUGAACCGUGAGGCUUAACCUUACAACGCCGAAG